rnacentral:rRNA from 1 species
GAGUUUGAUCCUGGCUUCAGAACGAACGCUGGCGGCAGGCUUAACACAUGCAAGUCGAACGCCCCGCAAGGGGAGUGGCAGACGGGUGAGUAACACGUGGGAACGUGCCCAAAGGUACGGAACAACUCCGGAAACUGGAGCUAAUACCGUAUGUGUCCGCAAGGAGAAAGAUUUAUCGCCUUUGGAUCGGCCCGCGUUGGAUUAGCUAGUUGGUGGGGUAAAUGGCCUACCGAAAGGCGACGAUCCAUAGCUGGUUUGAGAGAACGACCAGCCACACUGGGACUGAGACACGGCCCAGACUCCUACGGGAGGCAGCAGUGGGGAAUCUUGGACAAUGGGCGCAAGCCUGAUCCAGCCAUGCCGCGUGGAUGAUGAAGGCCUUAGGGUUGUAAAAUCCUUUCGUUGGGGACGAUAAUGACGGUACCCAAAGAAGAAGCCCCGGCUAACUUCGUGCCAGCCGCCGCGGUAAC